rnacentral:rRNA from 1 species
UACGGAGGGUGCAAACGUUGCUCGGAAUCAUUGGGCGUAAAGCGCGCGUAGGUGGCCUGUUAAGUCGGGUGUGAAAUCCCUGGGCUCAACCCAGGAAGUGCACUCGAAACUGGCAGGCUUGAGUACUGAAGAGGGUCGCGGAAUUCCCGGUGUAGAGGUGAAAUUCGUAGAUAUCGGGAGGAACACCAGUGGCGAAGGCGGCGACCUGGACGGACACUGACGCUGAGACGCGAAAGCGUGGGGAGCAAACAGG